rnacentral:lncRNA from 1 species
CAGUCUGAGAGGUUACAUUAUCUUUCUCCAAGUCACACAGUUAAGCGAAUGACAGAGGUGGAUUUGAGCCUAGAUGUGUACAUGACCUCAACACCUAUUUUUCCAGGAACUCCAGGCCUGUCUCUAAACCCCAGAUGGGUUCAGCAGCUUACUCUCAGUUCUCGCUGAUGCUCAACCUCUCCCUUCCUAGUGCCUCACCUUCCAAGAAUCAGUGUUUCAGAUUCCCAGUGACUGUCAGCCAUCUCCUCCACCUCCUGCUAUGCAUGUGUAUAACAGACAAUACUAACAUUUAUACCCUCUUAACUACUUUGUUUUAAAAUGACUCUGGAGUUCAGGUAACUAUACAUGUGCUUAAACUAUACAUUGUGCAUUUCUAAUUUCUUGCUAAAUCUCUGACUACAGUCUCAAAGGAUAGGACUGCCUUACUUGUCCCCUUGGCCCUCCCUCAAUUCUUCAAACACAGAUAUUUCUCUCAGGCAAUUGACUGUCAUUUCCUGAGCAUAUCUCUCAUGAAGACAUUGGUCAAUUCUCAGAAAAAAUAAAAUAAAUCAAAUAUGAAGAGGAAGAACUUCAGAUUAAUUCAAUAAUUUUUAAAUAAUCUCUCUUUGCUACACUUCCACUCCCAAACAUGAACUCUUAAGUAAAUAAAGAAAAUAUGAUUCACAUUUCCAAUAAACCAUGAAAUCUGUAUUUCAACUGAGGCUGCUUCUUGGUCACAUAGUAUACUUGUAAUUCCAAAGCAACUGUAUUGCAUUUUGAAAGAAAACAAGUCAGUCAUGUUCCAUCAACAGAAAGCCUUCUUGAGCAUGUCUCCUGGUAGGCUAAAGGGAUCUGAGUCAUUUGCCAAGGGUGAAUGGGAGAGUAAGUUCAUAUAAAACACCUACAAAUCUUAAUAAGGGGAUGAGCUAAAACCACAAAACUCCUCGUUCCUUUUCAAGUAUCACUAAUGCAUGUCACCAGUGGAUUAACUAAUAGUAUUCUACUUUAAUGGCAUUUCUGCUCUAUCAUUAACCUAAGUAUGGUCCAUAAAGUUACUAGAAUAUCCAUAAACGAGCUUACUACAAGGUUAUGUGAUUUCUACUUCUAUCAGCUCAGUAAAAACAACAUCAAAUUCUUCAUCCAGGUUGAGUUUUGUGGGACUGAGAGCUAGGAAUUGGAUAAUAAUAUCAAUGAUUAAAAUGAGUUCAGAAAGAAUUCAAAUUUCUAUUGUGUCAGUUUUCUGCUUCUUGCUUUUAAAAGAUCAUGAUUCUGAUCCUAAUUUUCCAUAGCAGGAUAUAGUUUCUAAUGAUAUUCUACUAUUUGUCUAUAUUCUACCUUCGGGUGGAACCUGAAUAGGUGGUGUUUUCAAAUCACCACCCAGUCUAUACUGGAACUUACACUGGUUUUGAUAAGAAGUAGAUGGAAUACACUACCCACCCACCCCACAAAAAAAAAAGGCCUAUUUAAUCUAAUGUUCUAGUGGAAUUCCAGGAUUUAUGUCACUAUUAUAGAAAAACUCAUUUUGGUUAUAGCACCAACAUAGCCAAAUAAAUGACUUCAAGAUGCUAGAAGAAAGUAUUUGGUCAAGAUAAAUAGAUGUUCAAAAAGGCCUCCCCAGCAUACUCAUUUUGCUAUAUGGAAAAUGAACUAACCAGUUUAAUGUACACUAAAUGAGACUUGGAAGCACAUUCUAAUUCACUUUAUUUUGUACCAGAAAUGAGGCUGUUUUUUUUAUUUUCCUGCUUCCUCCCUUAACCCCUAGGGUGUAUUCUCAACAAAAUGGCCAAUGUGAUCUUUUUGAAACACACAUCAGAUCACAUCACUUCACUGCUCAGAACCCUCCCAUGUCUUCCAUUCUCUGAAGACAGAAAGCCAGGGUCCUGGCAGUGGUCUAUAGGCCACACACCUUCCAGCCUCCCUGAUGUGGCUGUUCCUUCCCCUGGCACAUUUUAACCCCACUGAAUACACUGGUUCUCAAACACACUCAACAUAUUCACUCUUCAGCACCUUUACCAUUCGCUGUCCCCACUGACUGGAACACUCUUCCUUCCAACAUCUGCAAGACCAAUUCCCUCCCCUCCUUCAAAUCUUUGCUCAACAGUCACCAUCUCAGCAGGCCAACCUUGUUUAACUCAUUUAAAAUUAUAUGUCACUGCUUCUUCCCACACUCCCAACACCUCUUGCCCUUUCUUCCAUAGCAGUACUCAUUGCUUUCUACCAUUCUACAUAGCUUACACGUUUUUUACACUUAUUGUCCUUCUUCCUCUCUAGAAUUUAAACUCCACAAAGAUGUGAUUUUUAAUCCAUUUUGUUCACUACUGUAUAACUAGGACUUGGAACGAUAUAGGGUACAUAGUAGGUGCUUAGUAACAUCAGAUGGAUGAAAGAAUGAAUUCCAAAUUUGCUGAACAUGGUAGAGAUCUAGCCACACACAAAAAUAUUUAACUUAAACCCUUGAUUUAAAUUCUGCCAUCCUCUAUUUUCUCUUCUGUAAAAUGGAAUAAUUAGAGUAUCUAACACUUAGGGCUGUUGUAAAGAUUAAAAGAGAAAACAAAUGGAAAACAUUUAAGAUAGUGACUUACAUAUUGAGUCAUUAUUUUGAUUAGUUUAGGAAUAAUAGAAUCAAGGAUAAUAAAAAAUAACACCUAAAAUUUACAUAGAAUUUUACUCUGUAGGAAUUUAUACAAUCGUUUUCAUUAGAUCUUCCCAGGAUCCUUCUAGAUCAAUACCCUAGAAAACAGAAAUAACAGUAUCCUCAGCAUCUGCACCUUGCAGUGUCAGGGGAUAUAUCCAAACACAAAGCUAUGAAGGAUGGGGGCAGGAUUCAAAUUGAAGUUCUAUGAUUCCAAGCCCUAUGCUUUCUCCUCAAUUUCAGAGAAAGGAAAUAUUACCUCCAGCUUAAGGCUCUAACAGAUUGAAAGGGUCUUUGAAGUGGUGUUUUUUGGUUUGGUUGUUUCUUUACCGAGACUGGAUGUCUGCAUAGACGUGGCUGAGUCCAAGCAGCAGUAGGUCAUCAGCAUCCAGUAGUCCCUGCAAAUCCCAGGAAGUCAGGACUCAAGCACUGGAAGACACUGUCUCACCACUGAUCAUUGAUUCAGUCACGUAUGUGCUGCCUAGACAACUUUUAUUAUGUGAUUUUUUCCCAACAUGCUUCUAAACACCUCAAGGCCAAGAUUGGAUUUUGUCAGUGGGGGGGCGCAACUCCUUAUUCAGCCUUGUUUACAUGGCUGAUAUUUAGGA